GAAGCCAUUGGAAACUGAUUUUAUAACAGUUAACUCCAGAACAAGGUACUUCUGAGUUUAUGAACUUCUAGGCUGCCAGCCUGAGAGAACAAGUGCAAAUGUAGCGUGGGGGUUGGGGUUUUGGAUUCACUUUUUCUUUCCUCCCCAAAGUAUUGAUAGGAGAAAUACGGAUGAGGGUCCCUUCCUUCCAUAGCACAGUUCUCUUGUCUCCCACAACCUCCUUGAGCCAUCCCCUUUGUGCUACUAUGCAGGACUUUUAAAGGUGCAAAUGGAGACAGUACGCUCCUGAGACAUGCAAAAUACGUUGUGUAUUGGUGGAUUCUAACAGACAGAAGAGAUGGGGCAGAGCUAUGCUACAGAAGGCAUCUCUUCUCCCCCACAUCUUUCCUCUAGUCUUGUGUGCUGGGUUCCUGAAGAGACGUUCUCUGUAUUUUGUUACAAGUCAGUCAGAUCAGCUUCCACCGACAAACAAAGCUUGCAGAGUUUGGCAGCUGUUUCUCCCAGUGGAGAAAAUUCCAGGUCCUACCACUGUGGAGACCCCUCAGUUCUUGGGCUUUGUGGUCCUCCAACACAGUUUGGGGGUGGUCAAUGUGGAGGACUGUGUUCAGCCAUCAUCAGAAAUCGUGUGUGUGGUCCUGCUCAUUCUUGUGAUUUCUGCUAGUCCCCUGAUUUUCCGUCAGUUUUGACAGGUCUUUCUGGUAAUGCUUUUCUGGUUAUGCUCGUCAGAGGUGUUUUGGUCUGUGUCAGUUGCCAAUGCUAUUCUUGCCUACUGAAACACCAGUGCUGGCCUCCAGCUUCCACAGCUCUUCCGUUCUUGCCAUCUAGCCUUUUGGUAAAUACCCACUACCAAGUUCAGACCCUCUUUCUCUGUGCUUGCAAUGACUCAAGUACAUGCACUAACCCAAGGGUCAUCAGAGAACACAGGGACCAUUAGGAGUCUGCAUCAAGAGUCAGACUCCAUAACCAUCAGUUAGUCCUCUCUGAUAUAUUCACUUUGCCAGUCUCAGUGCCUGCUGUUAAUUGGCUGCCACAAAAUCCCUAUAAUGCUAGCAGAACCCAUAUACCCACCUAACACUUGGUUUCCAGUUUCAAAUGUCAGAAGUGAUGGACCGUUUUUCAAUUAAGUCAGGUGCGUUCCCUGUUGUGGUUUCCCAAGCAAGGUGCUGAAGAGGUCCAUGUCUUACCUUACCAUGAUGGGCAACCCAAGGAAAGAGCAAAUCAGUACGUAGAUUUGAGUCAAGAGAGGCAUCAGCUAUCCACUAUGUUUUUACUCAGGGAGACAGAACACUACUCACGUCUGCCAGGUCCCUGACCUUUCUCAAAGCCCUUGUAUCUGGCAGCAGUAAACCAUCAGAGCCAGUGCCUGUAAAUGGAGAACAAUUCUAAAGAUUUUCCAGUUCUGAGGAUGAUCCUCUGCCCACGUGUGGUGGUCAGUCCUUCAAGCACCUUCUCUUUGUUUUCCUCAAGAGAAGAAAAGAUUAUUUUUGACUAAGCAAAGUACUGCUAUUCUUUAGUGUAGGAGGAGACUGCACCAUUAGCACCUCCAACCUGUGGUUUAUCCACCAGGACUCCUGCACAUCUCCUUGUGAAACGCAUGGCCAGAAGACCUAAUCCUUUCUCUUACUAUCAUGUGUUGGUCAAGCACGUGGAGGGAAGUGCUUGGUCACAGUGCCAUUGUCUUAGUGACUACUUCCUGAGUAUCCUAACCUUCCUUCCACUAUCAUCUUGCUUGUGACUGCUCAUUCUUUUUCCUGAGCCAACAGAUGCCUCAUCCCCUCUGCCAUCCCUAAACUCCAGCCCUGAAGAUCUCUUGAGCAGACAGGCACAGGGUACCUCACAGACUCAUUUUAGAGUCUUCUACAUCCUUCAUGUACCCAGGCAGGCAAAUUCAUUUCAUUGAUAGACAACGGCAUAUUUGAAUUCUGAGAGGAGGAACAAGUGUUGGAGUUUAUUGCAUUGACCUUCACCUCUUCUUCCAUGUUUAAGGAGAUACAAUGAAAGCAUCAAUUGGUUUCCAUAUGACAGCACUGAGCUGAUGGCUUUAGGAGUAUUUCCCUCAAUAAUGCAAGUCUGACAUGCUGCAGUUACUGAAGGCAGUCUUUGAUCUCACAUCUAUCACGCUGAAUAAAAGGAGAACAGAAUCUGACACUUCUGUGCUGUUUACACAAACAUCAAAAACUAUCUUAGUUCAUUAUUCAAAUUACCUCCAGGUCAGUGGGUGAAUUGCAUCUUUGACAAAAGAAUGAUGUUUUCUCUUCCAGAACUGGAAUUGCAAGCUAAAAUAUGUGUACACACUUACAUAUAUAUUUAGAAAUGUUAUCCUGAAAACACAAAGAAAAGGAAAAAAAAAAACCCCAACAACAAAUAAACCUGAAAGAAUACUUAACUGUAUAGAAUACGUCUUGACAGGAGCUAGGGAGUUGCUAUGUGGAAAGUAUGACGUAUGAUGUGACUUCAAGAAAAGAGAAGACAGAACAGGGAAAUGCUUUCAUGUGACCUCUGGCUUGUCUCUGGUUCAUGUUCAUUAUUGUGUAGCAUUUAAUUAAUGCAGAAGUAUGUGGAAAACAGACGCUCAGCUCCAGCAGCAACAAACAGACUGAAGACCCCUUAAACUUAUCUGAGCCAUACUCAGCAAGCACAAUGAUGAAAAAGCACAAACAGCUGCCAUCACAAGUUUGAGAAGAGAUGAAUUUCUGAACAGGGGCAAGAACUCAGAAUUCUUUUUCAAGCCACAUUGACAGUAUUUUUCCUAGCGUGUUUACUUCUAUUACUAACCCUUCUUUUCCCCAAGCAUCUAAGAAAAGAAAAUAAAAGGAAAAAAGAGGAUUCUGAUUUGUAGGACUUCAAGAAUUAAGUAACAGUAUAGAAGAGGUAUGAAGCGAAGAUGCUCCUUUAUAUGUUAUGUUAUGCAUCAAGAUGUGCUUUACCAACCAGAAUUAGGACAUCACAUUCAAUUCACUGCUUGCUCAAAUAAAGUCUGAGUGAUACUGCUCACAAUCAAGGAGCCUUCCUAGAGCUUAGCCUUCUACAGGAGACCACAGCUUUCCUCUGGAUGGGAUAGCCAGCACCAGGCAGAGAUGUGCCCCUCUACGUCAAGAUGACAACUUCUUCUUAGCAAGUCACUCUUGGGCAGUGGGAGCAUCUAUCAGCUUAUAAAAGUCUUGUUAUCAAUAAUCAUAGGAAUUGCACAAGCCAAAUGUGCCCCAGCAA
ensembl:lncRNA